GGGUGUAGAAUAAGUGGGAGCUUCGGCGCCGUUGAAAUACCACUACCUUUAUCGUCUUUUUACUUAUUCAAUGAGGCGGAGCUGGUUAACACCCCACUUUUUGGCUUCAAGGUCCUUCACGGGCUGAUCCGGGUUGA
rnacentral:rRNA from 1 species